rnacentral:misc_RNA from 1 species
UCGGGUAGCUGCUCACCAUUUAAAAGUAUAUAUCCGUUGUUUCAGAAAUGGAAUUGCUAUUCUCGAUUCAGACAAGACACUGAUUUGUUUACGAAACGCUCUUGAUUUUGUAGGAUAUCUCAUUUGUCAAAAAAGCCGUUCCUUCUUUUUAAAGACGAAGAAUUUAUUUAUAUAUUCGAUAAUGGCAAAAAUGUGGAGCUGUAUCAAUGAUUCUCAAUGGAAGAUCGGGGCUUUUUUUACCAAUUCUUAUGCUAAUCCUAAGAAAUUCCGUUCAAGAAACAAUAAAAUCUAUUUUGGGUUGAACCGACAACCUGAUUGUGUGGUUAUUCUUCAUCCAGAUAGAAAGUCAUCGGUCAUACUGGAAGCUGAUCGAUCACAAAUACCUAUUGCAUCCUUAGUUGAUUCUACGAUCCCAUGGAAAUUAGAUAAAAGAAUCAAUUAUUCCAUCCCUGCGAAUGAUCCUAUGCGGCUCGUAUAUCUAUUUUGUAAUUCGAUCACGAAAACUGUGAUUCUUGAACGGAAAAGAAUCACUGCAAAGAACAGAACACCUCGUUCCCAUUUAUCUUCUUGUACGGAGAAGUCCGCCGCUGGAAUAAUAAUCCACUCCAGAGAAGUUUCUUCUUGGGCGGAGUUAGGAUCUGAACUUCUCCCUGUAGUGGCCAACUACUUGCAAAUUUAUAGCGAAGGUGC